UAAUACGAAGGGGGCUAGCGUUGUUCGGAAUUACUGGGCGUAAAGCGCGCGUAGGCGGCCUUGCAAGUCAGGGGUGAAAGGCCUGGGCUUAACCCGGGAUCUGCCUUUGAGACUGCGAGGCUUGAGAGUGGGAGAGGAUGGUGGAAUUCCCAGUGUAGAGGUGAAAUUCGUAGAUAUUGGGAAGAACACCGGUUGCGAAGGCGGCCAUCUGGCCCACCACUGACGCUGAAGUGCGAAAGCGUGGGGAGCAAACAGGAUUAGAUACCCUGGUAGUCCACGCCAUAAACGAUGAGUGCUAGUUGUUGGGGGGAAGACCCUCAGUGACGCCGCUAACGCAUUAAGCACUCCGCCUGGGGAGUACGGCCGCAAGGUUA
rnacentral:rRNA from 1 species